CAGAAAGUGGAUCCGGUUGAAAACGUUUGGGAUAACAGUAUCUCCCUAUGUAAGUGACAAAUACUGACUUUUUCGGUGAAAAGGGACACACAUUUUCUCAGGGAAGCAAAGUUCUCAGCUGCACUGUGUUGAGUAAGGAAAAGGUAUUUUGCAUAUUCCUGCUUGUGACGCAGAAUCAGUCGACACACAAAUGCAACGCAACUGGAUCUACAGCAACCCUGAAUGCAAUACAAACAUCCAGAAAAAGCCUGCUUCCACUGCUAGAUCCUCUACCCAUCCUACUUCCCUUAUCAUGGAGAAGGAAACAACGCUUCACAGAAGGUGUAGUCUGAUUAGCUUCCUAAUUAACAGAGAAACAGAGUAAGCUACGCUACCAUGAGGCAUAACUUUGGCACCUGCAAGACACAGCUCUGAGUUUAUAACCAUAUUAUAAAAUUUGGACAAAAACAUAAUACAAGCAAUAUGAAGUUAAGGACAUUCGAUCACUGGAUCCCCAGAGGAACUUCUUGCAGGUCAACAGAAACUCACUCUGACAAGGAGGAAACAUGUAGCUGCCACUCAACCUCUUCUCCUCUUUCAUUCACCAUUGCCCUUCUCAUGACCUCGGGGCAUCAUGUUUAGCUCUGUCCUCUGCCCAAUUCCAUACAUCCAGGACCGGCUCAAAUUUUUGCCAGCUUCAGUAUCUUUAGCACCCUGCCUUCCCUUUCUACCCAUAAAAGCAAAAUGUUCAUCCAGGCCCUCAUUACUGUUACAGAGAUGCGAGAUAAUCUCCUUCCUUCUGGCCGUGACAGGAGCAAUCCUGCCCUCUGAAAUCCAUUCAAAAUGCAAAUGCAAAAAUCGUCUUCCUGGAUUACUGCCUCAAGCCUAUUGCCCCAUUCCUUCCUGCCAAUACCUCCUACUGGCUACCCCUUUUUUCUACUACAUUAAGCACAAAUUGCUUGUCUUCAUUUUUAAGAGUUGUUCUUAGACGGUGACAACUGAUCCAAAUGCCCUACACAUCUAUUUAAAACCCAGGUAAUGAAGCCUAAUAACUACGUAAGAAAUCUCUUAUGUAAUGACUAGAUAGAAAUCAAUACCAUACACUUUAAUAACCAAUUCAGUGGGCAUACCUGCUCACAAUAAAAGCUGUGGCACAUGGCUGAAGUACUCUACAUAUGCUUCUUUGGAGUAGAAUCCAGUGCAGACUCUUCAAACAUCUUCCCUUUUGAAGUGUUUUACAACAGGCUAUUGGGUUUCUGACAAAACCAAUUUUUAAAGUAUCUGUUAUGUGAAAAGCAUUAUAGACUCUUUUUCUUGGUAAGAAAAGAAUAUUCAAAAGCUAAAAGCAUUCACACAACACCUCAUGAAAACAUUAGUUUGGUGUUUCAAGUCCUUUCUUCCCUCCAAGAGGGAGAAACUCCUGGAAAAACUUCUAUCUCCAUGACACACUGCCUCUGCUUAUCAACUGGUAUAAUUCCAAAGAUCUAAUUCAGCCUCCAGAGCAAAACUCCACUUUGCUACAUAACAGCAGUGUCGUUUUCAUUCCAUAAUAAACAGUGAGGUCCAGAGCCCGUAUUUAUAAAAGCAUUUUAGCACCAUCUCCUAGUUCCCUAAUGCCUAGAAAAACAAGGGGAACGAGUGCAGAUGGAGAACCUCUAAGCUAGCAAACCAAGAACAAUUUGACCUUCAGGGUCUGCAUGCACAUCACAGCUGCAGUCCAACCCUCCAUCUAGCCAAGCCUUAAGCCCACAUCAGCUCCACAACCUUAGGCCCAUCUGGUCUGGCUUCCAUAGAAAAGAAAUCCAACGCGUACGGACCAAAACAGAACUGGGGCAUGUUCUAACCUGUUUUCCACUGAUCAGUUUAGGAGGCGCCAUAGUCUGUUUGGAAAAGUUCAAACAAGUAUGUAAAUUAACUCUCACCUUUAUUAAAUGGGCUUGAGAAAUCUCCAAGCAAAUAGCAAUCCCUUAUUAUGCACAUGAAGGAAAGCUGAAAGACAAAUAGCAAAGCAGAAGAAAUCCCCAGGUGAACAUAAGAGCAUGCAUACAACACAUACCAAAAAAGAGCCUGUCCCCAGAAAACAUUUUAGAGUACAGCGUCAUGCAGCAUCUCCCCAGUAGACUAUAAAUUUAAUGUGAGCAGGUGUCCCAGGCCAGAAAACACAGACAGACACACACUCAGGGCCAUACUGUAGCCCUAUGACAAGAAGCUUUCACACUACACAUGGGAAAAAUCUCUCUUUUGUUAAGGAUAGUUAGGCCUUAAAAUAAAUUGCUUAAGAUGACUGCUAAA